rnacentral:rRNA from 1 species
AUGGCGUCCCAGGAUCACCACCACCACGGCGGCCACUCCCACGACGACGACCACCAUCACCACCACCAUCACGGGGAUGCCGCUGGGAAGGGGACGGGGGCGGGGUCGUGGGUCGGGGAGGACGGGCGCGUGUGGCACUCGCACGACGGCCUGGCGCCGCACUCCCACGAGCCCAUCUACUCCGCCGGGGACUUCUCCAAGCGCGCGCCGCCGCUCGACUCCCGCAGCUUCGCCGACCGCGCCUUCACCGUCGGCAUCGGCGGCCCCGUCGGCACCGGGAAGACUGCCCUGAUGUUAGCACUCUGCACUUCCCUGCGUGACAAAUAUAGUCUUGCAGCGGUCACAAAUGAUAUAUUCACAAAAGAGGAUGGAGAAUUCUUGGUCAAGCAUGGAGCUCUUCCUGAAGAGCGUAUACGUGCAGUUGAAACUGGAGGCUGCCCUCACGCAGCUAUACGUGAGGACAUCAGCAUAAAUCUGGGCCCUCUGGAGGAGCUAUCCAACUUGUACAAGGCCGAUUUAUUGCUCUGUGAAUCUGGAGGAGAUAACCUGGCAGCCAACUUCAGCAGGGAGCUAGCAGACUACAUAAUCUACAUCAUCGACGUGUCUGGCGGGGACAAGAUACCAAGGAAAGGUGGCCCUGGUAUAACCCAGGCAGAUCUUUUGGUCAUAAACAAGACGGACCUCGCCUCCGCGGUUGGAGCCGACCUGGCGGUGAUGGAGCGAGACGCCCUUCGGAUGCGGGAAGGAGGGCCCUUCGUGUUCGCCCAGGUGAAACACGGGGUCGGCGUGGAGGAGAUCGUGGACCACGUGCUGCGGGCCUGGGAGAUCGCCACCGGCAACCGGCGCCGAUAG